CUUGCUAAGUUUGAUGGCGACCGGCGCACGGGUGAGUAACACGUAUCCAACCUGCCGAUGACUCGGGGAUAGCCUUUCGAAAGAAAGAUUAAUACCCGAUGGCAUAGUUCUUCCGCAUGGUAGAACUAUUAAAGAAUUUCGGUCAUCGAUGGGGAUGCGUUCCAUUAGGUUGUUGGCGGGGUAACGGCCCACCAAGCCUUCGAUGGAUAGGGGUUCUGAGGGGAAGGUCCCCCACAUUGGAACUGAGACACGGUCCAAACUCCUACGGGAGGCAGCAUG
rnacentral:rRNA from 1 species